CGAGCCACAGUUGCAAAAAUAGGGGGAAGUGAUUAUGGAGAUCACAUAAAGAAAUCCAUGGAAAGAUUGAUGACAAAUAAAUUAAUGGCAAAGAUUAAUAUGUCAGGGAAAAUGGAAAAAUAUUCAUUUGGGAAGUCCAAUGUUUUUAAAUUACUGAAAGAUGUCAUCAUGAAGACUCAUGGAGUAACAGAACAAGAAGUUUCUGACAAAGCAGCAAACUAUUUAAAAUGGGCUCCAGAUAGACGGGGUGGUGGGGGGAGAAAGAAGUAGAAUUUUUAGAUACAAAUAAAUAAUCGAUGCAAUUGGAAGUCUAGUACCUCAUUCAGAGUGAAGCCAGUUAAAACAGAAUGUCUAGUGAGGUGUCCAUUUUGGAAAAGAAACUGACAAUUUUUACUUUUACGUUCACUUUCAUUUUAAUGAUGUCAAAUCAAUUAUUGUGAGUAAUCCAGGAUGUUGUUGUCUUUUUU